rnacentral:tRNA from 1 species
GUAUGGUGAAAGGGUAUCACUACUGCCUUCCAAGCAGUUUUUCGGGGUUCGAGUCCCCGUG